CUUGCACCUUUCAAGCGAGUGGCGAACGGGUGAGUAACACGUGGAUAACCUGCCUCAAGGCUGGGGAUAACAUUUGGAAACAGAUGCUAAUACCGUAUAACAAUGACAACCGCAUGGUUGUUAUUUAAAAGAUGGUUCUGCUAUCACUAAGAGAUGGAUCCGCGGUGCAUUAGUUAGUUGGUGGGGUAAAGGCUUACCAAGACAAUGAUGCAUAGCCGAGUUGAGAGACUGAUCGGCCACAUUGGGACUGAGACACGGCCCAAACUCC
rnacentral:rRNA from 1 species